CUGGGUUAAGGGAGUACCAAAGUUUAGUGCCCUGUGUAUAUUCUUUUCUAAAAAAACAAACUAUCAUCCAUGUAUUUAAAUGGACGUAGGAAAUUCAAGAACAAAUCAGGGAAAUUUAACAUCAUUUCAGUAUUACCAACAUAGGGCUUUGUGUAACGACUGUGACAUCAAGCUUUAAACAGAUAAGGCUUUACCUCGGCUAGUCCAAUAGAAAUACAGUAUGUAAAUUAACCCAUAUUAUCUGUAUGCUGAUUGGCCUGAGUUCCCCUGAAUGUCACAAUCUCACCAUCCAGCAAUGAGGUAUUUUACUGCCGUCUCGAGAUCAGAUUAUCACUGUAGAGAAGAUUUUUAUUUUUUGUUUCAUUAACAGAUUAUUAUAAAGCAAUAAGCAUGCAGAAAAAGAAGCAGACGUGUUACAUUGGGAAUUAAUGAAAGCAUGUCUGCUAGUUUUGGAUAGGAGAACUGGGGAGUUCUUGCUUAAAAUUUUAUAUCAUCCCCACAAACAAAACUCUUCGGGAAUGGUAAAAUAAGAAAAUGCAUGAUUCUAGAGGCAUUCCUAAGCACCCACGUGUCAGGCUAUGUGGUGUCUGUGGUAUCAUCCGACCUUUUGGACUGGUGGCUUACUGAGAGUUCCAUUUCUGGAAAGCCUUUCAAGACUGAGGAAUAUCAGACUGCGAAUCACCGGGAACGGUUCCUUUGCAGCACAGAAGCAAUCUCUCUCCCCAUCUUCGCGUUCUUUGGACCCACAUCAAACAGAGAAGCUGCCUGUGAAACACUGACAGAUACUAACGGAUCUCAAAGAAAUAUAUUCUGAUGGCAAAUCAAAUGGAAGAAAAGAGGAAGCAUGACUGCAGAUCAGAUCAGUUCUCUUUGCGGAUUAUAUUUUCAGUAAAAUGUAUGGAUCUAUCUUUACCUUGUUCUUAUGUCUAGAUCAUGAGACUUGACUGAGGCUGUA
rnacentral:lncRNA from 1 species